GAGUGAUAUUAUGUAUUUGAUAGUCCUUCUUAGCCAUCUUUAGCUCCCGGUUUUUAAGGACUAUCCACGCAUACUUAAAAUGU
rnacentral:sRNA from 23 species